GGGUAGGAGUCUGGCAGCCGCAGCCGAGCUGUGGACUGGUCCCAGCCUGUUUAUUGCCGCUGAACCCCAGCUUGUGCACCCCUCAGGAGGCUGUCCCGGAAGUGACACCAUAAAGCAGUCGUCUCUUCCGCUGCGGUCCCCGUUCGUCAAAGAACAAAUUGUUGUUGGUCCUCCCUAGAGACGGUCUAGUGACGUGGAGGGUCCGGGUGUGGAUGGAGGCCGGGGAGCCAGCGCGCCCACCCCUGCCCGGGCCGGCGGGAAGUGUCCUGUUGAAGGAAAAACAUUCACCUGUUAACAUACAUUUAGUUGAGUCUCGCCUUAAAUCUUGCGGCUGCAGGACCUGGUGAUUCUGAGGCUUUCAGGACUCGGUGACCUUUGAUGAUGUGGCUGUGGACUUCACCCAAGAGGCGUGGGUUAUAAUGGAUCAAACUCAGAGAGACCUCUACAGAGAGGUGAUGCUGGAGAACUACCAGAACUUGUCCUCAGCAGGUAAGAUGCCAUUGCCCCUCCUGGUCUCUUAGGGAGGAGAGGAGUGCUGUGUAUGAACUGUAUUUCAGCAUCACUGAAGUCAAUUGUGAGUCUAGUGAGAAAUAACAGAAGCCUAGUUCCAGCACUGAUCAAUUGUAAUCUAUACUAUGGUUGUUCUUAAAAUAUGAUCCAACAGGGCUGGCAAGUUGGCCCAGAAAAUAAAGGCACUUGUGACCAAACCUGAUGACUUGAUUUCAAUCCCUGGAACCUGUGGAGACCCACAGAGGCUCCCUAAUAAUGCCUUACUCAAGAUCAGAGAAUCUGAACUUGCUUUAUCCAACAGGGCUACAUAAUAGG